rnacentral:rRNA from 1 species
GACGAACGCUGGCGGCGUGCCUAAUACAUGCAAGUCGAGCGAAGUUUUUCUGGUGCUUGCACCGGAAAAACUUAGCGGCGAACGGGUGAGUAACACGUAAAGAACCUGCCUCAUAGACUGGGACAACUAUUGGAAACGAUAGCUAAUACCGGAUAACAGCAUUAACUGCAUGGUUGAUGUUUAAAAGUUGGUUUUGCUAACACUAUGAGAUGGCUUUGCGGUGCAUUAGCUAGUUGGUGGGGUAAAGGCCUACCAAGGCGACGAUGCAUAGCCGACCUGAGAGGGUGAUCGGCCACACUGGGACUGAGACACGGCCCAGACUCCUACGGGAGGCAGCAGUAGGGAAUCUUCCGCAAUGGGCGAAAGCCUGACGGAGCAACGCCGCGUGAGUGAAGAAGGAUUUCGGUUCGUAAAGCUCUGUUGUUAGGGAAGAAUGAUUGUGUAGUAACUAUACACAGUAGAGACGGUACCUAAACAGAAAGCCACGGCUAACUACGUG